GAUGAACGCUGGCGGCGUGCUUAACACAUGCAAGUCGAACGGUGAAGCAGAGCUUGCUCUGUGGAUCAGUGGCGAACGGGUGAGUAACACGUGAGCAACCUGCCCUGGACUCUGGGAUAAGCGCUGGAAACGGCGUCUAAUACUGGAUACGAGACGUGGCCGCAUGGUCAACGUUUGGAAAGAUUUUUUGGUUCAGGAUGGGCUCGCGGCCUAUCAGCUUGUUGGUGAGGUAAUGGCUCACCAAGGCGUCGACGGGUAGCCGGCCUGAGAGGGUGACCGGCCACACUGGGACUGAGACACGGCCCAGACUCCUACGGGAGGCAGCAGUGGGGAAUAUUGCACAAUGGGCGAAAGCCUGAUGCAGCAACGCCGCGUGAGUGAUGACGGCCUUCGGGUUGUAAACCUCUUUUAGCAAGGAAGAAGCGAAAGUGACGGUACUUGCAGAAAAAGCGCCGGCUAACUACGUGCCAGCAGCCGCAGUAACAC
rnacentral:rRNA from 1 species